rnacentral:rRNA from 1 species
UACGGAGGGUGCAAGCGUUAUCCGGAUUUACUGGGUUUAAAGGGUGCGUAGGUGGGCAGUUAAGUCAGCGGUGAAAUCUCUGGGCUUAACCCGAAAACUGCCAUUGAUACUAUCUGUCUUGAAUAUUGUGGAGGUAAGCGGAAUAUGUCAUGUAGCGGUGAAAUGCUUAGAUAUGACAUAGAACACCCAUUGCGAAGGCAGCUUACUACGCAUAUAUUGACGCUGAUGCACGAAAGCGUGGGGAUCAAACAGG